rnacentral:lncRNA from 1 species
UAGGAUUUACCCAAGGGUUUAGGAUUUAUCCAAGGGUUUAGGGUUUCGGAUUUAGGGUUUAGGGAUUAGAAUUUAGGGUUUAGGGAUUAGGAUUUAGGGUUUAGUAUUUUGAUUUAGGGUUUAGUAUUUUGCUGACGACGUUAACAAUAUUUUUUUAAAAAAAACUUUUUUUUUGUAAUUAUUAUUUUUUUUACCUUUUUAUUUUAAAAACAUAAUAUAACUUGACAAUAUUUUGUUUCCUUUUUUAGAAGAUAUCAAAUUUGAAAUAAUGAAAUCCUAUUGGUUGGUGAACCCAAGAAUUACUCUUUUU